rnacentral:rRNA from 1 species
GACGAACCGUCCUAACGUUGUUCGGAAUCACUGGGCUUAAAGGGCGCGUAGGCGGGUUCCCAAGUCGGUGGUGAAAUCUUUCGGCCCAACCGGAAAACAGCCGCCGAUACUGGGAGUCUUGAGGGAGGUAGGGGUCGAUGGAACUUCCGGUGGAGCGGUGAAAUGCGUAGAUAUCGGAAGGAACGCCGGUGGCGAAAGCGGGUCUCUGGGCCGAUACUGACGCUGAGGAGCGAAAGCAUGGGGAGCGAACAGG